rnacentral:rRNA from 1 species
UAAUUGAAGAGUUUGAUCAUGGCUCAGAUUGAACGCUGGCGGCAGGCCUAACACAUGCAAGUCGAGCGGUAACAUUUCAAGAGCUUGCUUUUGAAGAUGACGAGCGGCGGACGGGUGAGUAAUGGCUGGGAACCUGCCCUGACGUGGGGGAUAACAGUUGGAAACGACUGCUAAUACCGCAUGAUGUCUACGGACCAAAGAGGGGGAUCUUCGGACCUCUCGCGUCGGGAUGGGCCCAGUUGGGAUUAGCUAGUUGGUGAGGUAAUGGCUCACCAAGGCGACGAUCCCUAGCUGGUUUGAGAGGAUGAUCAGCCACACUGGAACUGAGACACGGUCCAGACUCCUACGGGAGGCAGCAGUGGGGAAUAUUGCACAAUGGGCGCAAGCCUGAUGCAGCCAUGCCGCGUGUGUGAAGAAGGCCUUCGGGUUGUAAAGCACUUUCAGCAGUGAGGAAGG